AUGUACUCUGUUCCUUCAGCUCACUGGGUGGCUACGGCGACUUUGUACCUCGAGGGCCAUGCCGCGUUAUGGUUCCGUGCAUACAAGCGUCGCCAUGCCCAGCCAAGUUGGACAACAUUUAUCGCAGCGGUGGUUGACGAAUUUGGUCAGGAGGAGUAUGAGGGACAAAUGUCCAAGUUGCUUCAACUGAAGCAAACAGGCUCUGUUCCUGAAUACAAGGCUGCCUUUGAAUCAUGUAUGUAUCACCUUCUCUCCCUGGAUGAAUCCUUGAGUAGUCGCUGGUUCGUCUCUCAGUUUGUCUUUGGCCUCCGCGACGAGCUACGAGCUGCCGUCCGCCUGCAGGCGCCAUCAAGCGUGACCCGCGCAGCCUCCUUGGCACGCAUACAGGAGGAGGAGGCGGAACACCAGCGACCUCGCACGCGGCCUCCCGCGCCCACCAAACAUCCCACGGUGGGCACUGCACUUCCUCUGGGAUCGGCUGUGGUCCCUGUUGGCGCGCGCCGGGCGGCCACCGACGAAUACACUCGGGAGCGCCAACUCCGGGAUUUUCGUCGUACCAACGGCCUUUGCUUCAAGUGUGGUGACAAGUACUCUAAGGACCAUCAAUGCAAGAAGCCAGCACAUGUCCUGAUGAUUGAAGUUGGGGAGUUUGGUGAAGUUCUAUCUGAUGAUACAGUUCAUGCUCUGAACUUGCUUGAUGGUAGGCCUGAUGCUGCUCCAGCUGCAGAGUGUUGCACAAUCUCGGUUCAUGCUGUCUCAGGUACCGAAGACAAUUCCACUAUUCGCAUAAGAGCAAUGGUUGGCAACCAGGUGAUGUUGUUGUUAGUCGAUUCUGGUAGUUCUCACUCCUUUGUGAAUGCUGCUUUUGCUGAUCGAGCUGGGUGUACAGUCACCAAGAUAUCUCCUAUCAAUGUCAAGGUGGCCAAUGGUCAGGUGAUGAAUUGUAUAUCAGCGGUUGAAGGGCUACAAUGGUGGUCUCAUGGUGCCACAUUUUGUGAUGACAUGCGUGUUCUUGAGCUGGGCGCAUAUGACGCAGUGUUGGGCAUGGAUUGGUUAUCCAAAUGUGGGUUGAUGACUUGUGACUGGGCUGGCAAGGUCUUGCAAUUCAAGCAUCAGGGGGCUGUAGUUACUCUCAAGGGUGUGGCAUCCAAGUCAACUUCUGCCCUACAAGAGAUGAGUGUGGAGCAAUUGGAUAAGUGGAUAUCGGGGAAUGAAGUUUGGGCUAUGGCUGUCAUUGACUCUAUUCCAGCAACAGAAUCUUCCGCAGGCGCAUCUACUCCUGUAGCACCUGAUUUACAAUUGUUGUUAGAUGCCUAUGCAGAUGUGUUUCAGGCACCCAAGUCCUUACCACCCCAUCGUGCCUUGGAUCAUGCAAUUACCCUCGAGAUAGAUGCAAGGCCAAUCAAUACUUGUCCUUAUAGGUAUUCACCUCUUCACAAGGACGAGAUUGAGCGCCAAGUAACUGAGAUGUUGGAAGCUGGGAUAAUUAUACCGUCCAUGAGUCCUUAUGCCUCACCGGUGCUUCUGGUCAAGAAGAAAGAUAAUACAUGGCGUUUUUGUGUGGAUUACCGGCAGUUAAAUGAUGCCACGGUAAAGAACAAAUUUCCCUUACCAAUAGUGGACGAACUCUUGGACGAAUUGGCAGGCACUAAGUUCUUCUCCAAGCUGGAUCUUCGGGCAGGCUAUCAUCAGAUUCGGAUGCGUGAGGAAGAUGAACCCAAGACCGCAUUCAAAACUCACCAUGGCCAUUUCCAGUUUCGAGUUAUGCCAUUUGGUUUGACCAACGCACCAGCUACAUUCCAAUGCGUGAUGAAUUCCAUAUUUGCCAAGCAUCUGCGCAAGUUCCUAAUUGUCUUCCUAGAUGAUAUUCUGAUAUAUAGUGCUUCUUGGGCAGAGCAUCUUGAUCAUCUUCGCCAAGUUCUUGAACUGUUGCGCCAACACCAACUAUUUGCCAAGCUGUCCAAAUGCUCAUUUGGUCAAUCUAGCAUCAACUAUUUGGGACACAUCAUCUCUGAUGCAGGGGUUGCUAAAGAUCCUGAGAAAACUUCUGCAAUGGCUCGGUGGCCUAUUCCAAACACUGUCACUGAAUUGAGGGGAUUUUUGGGCCUCACCAGCUAUUACAGGAAAUUUGUGAAGAACUAUAGUUGGAUAUCAAAGCCUCUUACUCAGCUGCUUACGAAGAAAGGUUUUCAGUGGAAUGAGCAAGCUCAACAAGCAUUUGAGGCUCUGAAGGUAGCUAUGAUCAAUACUCCAGUUCUAGCUCUACCUAACUUCUUCACUUCCUUUACCAUUGAAACCGAUGCUUGUGCAACGGGCGUGGGUGCGGUCCUGACGCAGAAUGGCCAUCCAGUAGCCUAUUUGAGUAAAGCACUUGGUAUCCAGAACAACAAGCUAUCAAUAUAUGAAAAAGAGUUUUUAGCCGUGAUUAUGGCCAUUGAUCGUUGGCGCACAUAUCUGCAAAGAGGACCUUUUGUGAUUCUUACUGAUCACAAGUCCUUAUGCACCUUAACUGAACAACAAUUGGGCACUGAUUUGCAGCGAAAAGCAAUGGCUAAAUUGAUGGGUUUGCAGUUUCAAUUUCGCUAUAGGCGUGGAGUGGACAAUGGUGCAGCUGAUUCUCUCUCUAGGGUUGGGCAUAAAAUGGGAUGCCAAGCGUUGUCAGUUUGUCAACCUGAUUGGAUUCUGGAUGUUACCCGUACUUAUGAAUUGGAUGUUGUUGCGCAAGAUUUACUCGCCCAGCUUGCCAUUCAUUCUCCUAAUGAGAAGGGUUUUUCUCUGGAUAGUGGCCUUAUUAAAUACAAAGGUCGUAUCUACAUAGGUGCGAAUUUAGCAUUGCAAACUCAGUUAAUUGAUGCCCUCCAUAACAGCCCAAUUGGUGGUCAUUCGGGGAUUCAGGCUACAUACCAACGCUUACGCAAGCUAUAUUACUGGGUCGGUAUGAAAGCUGCUGUUGAAAACUUUGUACACCAGUGUCAAGUUUGUCAACAGGCUAAACCUUUGCACACGAAGCCGGCUGGUCUUCUUCAGCCCUUGCCUAUCCCACAACAACCAUGGGAGGAUCUUACUAUGGACUUUAUCGAGAGUUUACCAUUGUCGGAAGGUUAUGACACUAUAUUGGUGGUGAUUGACCGUUUCACUAAAUAUGCCCAUUUUCUACCCCUUCGACAUCCGUUCACUGCAUGUUCUGUAGCAGAAGUGUUCUUGGAUUCUAUUGUCAAACUUCAUGGAGUCCCUCACUCAAUCAUCUCUGAUCGUGAUAAGAUUUUCACCAGUGCCAUGUGGCGUGACAUCUUCAAGGCUGUGGGUUCCAAGCUCAGUUAUAGCACCGCUUAUCACCCUCAAACCGAUGGUCAGAGCGAGCGGGUGAAUCAAUGUGUCGAACAAUAUCUUCGUUGUGCUGUUCAUGACCGACCUGGCAAAUGGAGGUCAUGGUUGCCCAUGGCCGAAUUCUGGUACAAUUCCAGUUUUCAUACUUCUACUGGAUGCUCUCCUUUCAAAGCUCUCUAUGGUAGAGAUCCUAACUUCGGUGGCAUGCCUAAUGUUUCGUUGGCUGUUGAGCAUCUUCCUUCCGGUUUGGCCCUCCCUUCCCAGGAUCAUAUUGAGCAGUUGCGUGCCCAUCUACUCCGUGCACAAGAGCGUAUGAAGAAACAAGCUGAUAAACAUCGUUCUGAGAAGGUGUUUCAGGUGGGCGAUUCUGUGCUCUUGAAGCUGCAACCAUAUGCUCAGUCUUCCAUUGUCAAUCGUCCCUGCCCUAAAUUGGCUUUCAAAUAUUCCGGGCCUUUCAAGAUUGCUACUCGUAUUGGUGCUGUGGCUUAUCGCCUAAUUCUUCCGGAGGGUUGUCAAGUUCACCCGGUGUUUCAUGUUUCCCAGUUGAAAGAAUUCAAUCCAAGUUUUGCUCCUAAUUUUCAGUCUCUGCCACCUCCACAUGUGUUCCAAGAUUGUUCAGCUCAGCCGUGCAUCAUUUUGCAACGAAGGAUCGUUCAAAAAGGUAACGAACCUGUGGUUCAAAUCCUUGUGCAGUGGUCAUCGUUGCCGGAGGAUUGUGCCACCUGGGAGGACUAUUAUGUUCUUUGCCGUCGUUUUCCAACUGCUCCUAUUUGGGACGAGGAUCAUACUGAAGGAGGGGCAAAUGUCAUGCCUUCUUCCGUUGGAACUUAG
rnacentral:rRNA from 1 species